AACGCGAAGAACCUUACCCACCUUUGACAUGUAUGGAAUCCUUUAGAGAUAGAGGAGUGCUCGAAAGAGAGCCAUAACACAGGUGCUGCAUGGCUGUCGUCAGCUCGUGUCGUGAGAUGUUGGGUUAAGUCCCGCAACGAGCGCAACCCUUGCCAUUAGUUGCUACGAAAGGGCACUCUAAUGGGACUGCCGGUGACAAACCGGAGGAAGGUGGGGAUGACGUCAAGUCCUCAUGGCCCUUAUAGGUGGGGCUACACACGUCAUACAAUGGCUGGUACAGAGGGUUGCCAACCCGCGAGGGGGAGCCAAUCCCAUAAAGCCAGUCGUAGUCCGGAUCGCAGUCUGCAACUCGACUGCGUGAAGUCGGAAUCGCUAGUAAUCGCGGAUCAGAAUGUCGCGGUGAAUACGUUCCCGGGCCUUGUACACACCGCUACAGU
rnacentral:rRNA from 1 species